rnacentral:rRNA from 1 species
GACGAACACUGGCGGCGUGCUUAACACAUGCAAGUCGAGCGGUAAGGCCCUUUCGGGGGUACACGAGCGGCGAACGGGUGAGUAACACGUGGGUGACCUGCCCUCAGCUCUGGGAUAAGCCUGGGAAACCGGGUCUAAUACCGGAUAUGACUCCAUGACGCACGUUGUGGGGUGGAAAGCCUUGUGCGGCUGAGGAUGGGCCCGCGGCCUAUCAGCUUGUUGGUGGGGUGAUGGCCUACCAAGGCGACGACGGGUAGCCGGCCUGAGAGGGCGACCGGCCACACUGGGACUGAGACACGGCCCAGACUCCUACGGGAGGCAGCAGUGGGGAAUCUUGCGCAAUGGGCGAAAGCCUGACGCAGCGACGCCGCGUGAGGGAUGACGGCCU